GACGAACGCUGGCGGCGUGCUUAACACAUGCAAGUCGAACGGGCCUGCCUGGCUUUGGUUGGGUGGGUGAGUGGCGAACGGGUGAGUAACACGUGAGUAACCUGCCCUCUUCUCUUGGAUAACUGCUUGAAAGGGCGGCUAAUACGGGAUGUUCUGGCUGCCUCGCAUGGGGUGGUUUGGAAAGAUUCGGCCUGGUUUUGGUUGUUUUGGUGGGGGAUGGGCUCGCGGCUUAUCAGCUUGUUGGUGGGGUGAUGGCCUACCAAGGCGGUGACGGGUAGCCGGCCUGAGAGGGUGGACGGUCACACUGGGACUGAGACACGGCCCAGACUCCUCGGGAGGCAGCAGUGGGGGAUUUUGCACAAUGGGCGCAAGCCUGAUGCAGCGACGCCGCGUGAGGGAUGGAAGCCUUCGGGUUGUGAACCUCUGUCGCCGGUGAUGUAGGCUCUGCUUUGUGGGUG
rnacentral:rRNA from 1 species